CUUCUUCCCAUUCUCACCAACAAAUUACAAUAAUCUCAAAUUGUAAUUUUUGUAACAUACUUCGAAUAAGCUCAAGAUAGCUGUGGGAAAUCAUGUCACUUUCAGGCUCUUCUUUCUUCACCAUUAAUUUACCUAAUUUCCUUCCUCCAGGUUAGGUCAGGUUUAUGUAUAGGCUCUACUUUUUGUCUGUCUCUCUACACUACCUUUCUUCCAACAGAGAAUUAUAUUCAUACCCAUUUUUUAAGGAUGAGUUCCAUUCAGUUGGGUUCGAUUGGGUUCCAGAAUUCUAUGGUGAAAAGUGUUGGUGAAAGGUUGGAUAUGGAUAUUGAUAACUGGAGACGUUUAAACAAAGCAGUAAGCAAGCGGCUGGGGAGGGGUCCAAAUCUAGACAGUCAUAUUCUUUUUUCUUUCCUUUAAUUAAUUUAUUUACAUUUGUUACUAUAUAUCCCAAACUUUGCAUUUAUUUUCGAAAUUCUAUUGGAAUUUGGUAUUUCUGUA